rnacentral:rRNA from 1 species
CAGCCCUAAACGAUGCGCGUUAGGUGUAUCGGUGACCACGAGUCACCGGGGUGCCGAAGGGAAACCGUGAAACGUGCCGCCUGGGAAGUACGGUCGCAAGGCUGAAACUUAAAGGAAUUGGCGGGGAGCACCACAAGAGGUGGAGGCUGCGGUUCAAUUGGACUCAACGCCGGAAGCUUACCGGAUAAGACAGCGGAAUGAUUGCCGGGCUGAAGACCCUGCAUGACCAGCUGAGAGGAGGUGCAUGGCGUAGUCGUGU